rnacentral:rRNA from 1 species
AUUGAACGCUGGCGGCAGGCCUAACACAUGCAAGUCGAACGGUAACAGGAAACAGCUUGCUGUUUCGCUGACGAGUGGCGGACGGGUGAGUAAUGUCUGGGAAACUGCCUGAUGGAGGGGGAUAACUACUGGAAACGGUAGCUAAUACCGCAUAACGUCGCAAGACCAAAGAGGGGGACCUUUGGGCCUCUUGCCAUCGGAUGUGCCCAGAUGGGAUUAGCUAGUAGGUGGGGUAACGGCUCACCUAGGCGACGAUCCCUAGCUGGUCUGAGAGGAUGACCAGCCACACUGGAACUGAGACACGGUCCAGACUCCUACGGGAGGCAGCAGUGGGGAAUAUUGCACAGUGGGCGCAAGCCUGAUGCAGCCAUGCCGCGUGUAUGAAGAAGGCCUUCGGGUUGUAAAGUACUUUCAGCGGGGAGGAAGGGAGUAAAGUUAAUACCUUUGCUCAUUGACGUUACCCGCAGAAGAAGCACCGGCUAACUCCGU